rnacentral:tRNA from 1 species
GCGGAUGUGGCGGAACUGGCAGACGCGCUGGAUUUAGGAUCCAGUGCCGCAAGGCGUAUGGGUUCGAGCCCCUUCAUCCGCA